UUCCACGUCGGCGUGUGAAAUCUCGGGGCUCAACCCCGAGCCUGCAGUCGAUACGGGCAGACUAGAGUAUUGCAGGGGAGACUGGAAUUCCUGGUGUAGCGGUGAAAUGCGCAGAUAUCAGGAGGAACACCGGUGGCGAAGGCGGGUCUCUGGGCAAUAACUGACGCUGAGGAGCGAAAGCGUGGGGAGCGAACAGGAUUAGAUACCCUGGUAGUCCACGCCGUAAACGUUGGGCGCUAGGUGUGGGGUCCCUUCCACGGGCUCCGUGCCGCAGCUAACGCAUUAAGCGCCCCGCCUGGGGAGUACGGCCGCAAGGCUAAAACUCAAAGGAAUUGACGGGGGCCCGCACAAGCGGCGGAGCAUGUGGCUUAAUUCGAUGCAACGCGAAGAACCUUACCAAGGCUUGACAUGCGCAGAAAUCCGGCAGAGAUGUCGGGUCCGUAAGGGCUGCGUACAGGUGGUGCAUGGUUGUCGUCAGCUCGUGUCGUGAGAUGUUGGGUUAAGUCCCGCAACGAGCGCAACCCUCGUUCUAUGUUGCCAGCGCGUUAUGGCGGGGACUCAUAGGAGACUGCCGGGGUCAACUCGGAGGAAGGUGGGGAUGACGUCAAAUCAUCAUGCCCCUUAUGUCUUGGGCUGCACACAUGCUACAAUGGCCAGUACAAAGGGCUGCGAUACCGCGAGGUGGAGCGAAUCCCAAAAAGCUGGUCUCAGUUCGGAUUGGGGUCUGCAACUCGACCCCAUGAAGUCGGAGUCGCUAGUAAUCGCAGAUCAGCAACGCUGCGGUGAAUACGUUCCCGGGCCUUGUACACACCGCCCGUCACGUCACGAAAGUCGGUAACACCCGAAGCCAGUGGCCCAACCCCUCGGGGAGGGAGCUGUCGAAGGUGGGAUCGGCAUUGGGAGCGAAGUCGUAACAAGGUAGCCGUACCGGAAGGUGCGGCUGGAUCACCUCC
rnacentral:rRNA from 1 species